AGAGUUUGAUCCUGGCUCAGGAUGAACGCUAGCGGCAGGCCUAAUACAUGCAAGUCGAACGGUGAUAGCAAUAUCAUAGUGGCGCACGGGUGCGUAACACGUAUGCAACCUACCUUAUACUGAGGGAUAGCCUUUCGAAAGGGAGAUUAAUACCUCAUAACACAUUGAACUGGCAUCAGUUUAUUGUUAAAGAUUUAUUGGUAUAAGAUGGGCAUGCGUCCAAUUAGUUAGUUGGCGAGGUAACGGCUCACCAAGACGAUGAUUGGUAGGGGAACUGAGAGGUUAAUCCCCCACACUGGCACUGAGAUACGGGCCAGACUCCUACGGGAGGCAGCAGUAGGGAAUAUUGGGCAAUGGAGGCAACUCUGACCCAGCCAUGCCGCGUGCAGGAAGAAGGCGUUAUGCGUUGUAAACUGCUUUUAUAUAGGAAGAAAUAGACCUUGCGAGGUAAGUUGACGGUACUAUAAGAAUAAGCACCGGCUAACUCCGUGCCAGCAGCCGCGGUAAUACGGAGGGUGCAAGCGUUGUCCGGAUUUAUUGGGUUUAAAGGGUGCGUAGGCGGUUUAUUAAGUCAGUGGUGAAAGACGGCCGCUCAACGAUUGCA
rnacentral:rRNA from 1 species